rfam:Gossypium raimondii chromosome 5, whole genome shotgun sequence.
GCCAUCAUCGUCUACCAGUUCAGGACACCUCUCUUUCAAGGAGGCAAUAGGGAUUCAACUUCCCUUAGGGGUA